rnacentral:rRNA from 1 species
UAAUACGGAGGGUGCAAGCGUUGUUCGGAAUUAUUGGGCGUAAAGCGGGCGCAGGCGGUCGUGUAAGUCGGAUGUGAAAUCCCUGGGCUCAACCCAGGAACUGCAUUCGAAACUGCACGACUAGAGUCUCGGAGAGGGUGGCGGAAUUCCCGGUGUAGAGGUGAAAUUCGUAGAUAUCGGGAGGAACACCAGUGGCGAAGGCGGCCACCUGGACGAUGACUGACGCUCAGGUCCGAAAGCGUGGGGAGCAAACAGGAUUAGAUACCCUGGUAGUCCACGCCGUAAACGUUGGGUGCUCGUCGUGGCGGGUAUUGACCCCUGCUGUGACCAAGCUAACGCAUGAAGCACCCCGCCUGGGGAGUACGGUCGCAAGACUA